rnacentral:rRNA from 1 species
UACGUAGGGGGCAAGCGUUUGUCCGGAUUUAUUGGGCGUAAAGAGCGUGUAGGCGGCCAAGCAGGUCCGCUGUGAAAACGUCGAGGCUCAACCUCGAGACGUCGGUGGAAACCGUUUGGCUAGAGUCCGGAAGAGGAGAGUGGAAUUCCCGGUGUAGCGGUGAAAUGCGCAGAUAUCGGGAAGAACACCCGUGGCGAAGGCGGCUCCCUGGGACGGUACUGACGCUGAGACGCGAAAGCGUGGGGAGCGAACAGG